rnacentral:rRNA from 1 species
CCUACGGGUGGCAGCAGUGAGGAAUAUUGGUCAAUGGCCGCAAGGCUGAACCAGCCAAGCCGCGUGAGGGAGGAAGGCGCAAAGCGUCGCAGACCUCUUUUGCCGGGGGACAAAGGGCCGGACUCGUGCGGUCCUGUGGGUACCCGGAGAAUAAGCAUCGGCUAACUCCGUGCCAGCAGCCGCGGUAAUACGGAGGAUGCGAGCGUUAUCCGGAUUCAUUGGGUUUAAAGGGUGCGUAGGCUGGGAGGUAAGUCAGCGGUGAAAUGCCCCCGCUCAACGGGUUGAAGUGCGAUUGAUACUGGCUUGCUUGAGUGCAGAUGCGGUGGGAGGAAUGUGUGGUGUAGCGGUGAAAUGCAUAGAUAUCACACAGAACACCGAUUGCGAAGGCAGCUCACGAAUCCGCGAUUGACGCUGAUGCACGAAAGCGUGGGUAUCAAACAGGAUUAGAUACCCCGGUAGUC